rnacentral:lncRNA from 1 species
GUUUUACCAUCUAUAAUUGCAAUACGGGUCUCUGUCACUUAGUGUCUAUGUUGUGUGUUUUACCUAAUUGUUUUUUUUAGAUUUUAUCAUGUUUUUGUUCAAUUCUUUAUCUAUUAUGAAUUGUAUCAGUUGAAUUUUAAGUUAUAAUUUAUUGAACAUAUAUUUUUUUUUGUCUUCUAAUUGUACAGUUUUAUACCAGUGAAUUUUUUUUAAAAAAAAUCAUGUGAUUAUAGAAUAUAUGACAUAUAUUUAUGAAAUUUUUAGAAAAAAAAAAAAGAAAUGUUAAGUAUAUAUCAUUUUCAGUCACAUUAGAAUCCUGAUAAUACAUUAUUUCUACGGCUUCUACUUCACUAAACUGAUGAUCACAUUGGAUACUACCUUUUCUUUUCUUUUUAACUUAAUAGUUUUAAUGCUUUUCGAGUUUGGCAAACAUUUUUUUCAAAAAUUGGGUAGGAUUCGAUGGCCAGAUUGAUACAAUCUUUGUACGGCCGAAACGCUUCCCCACCGUUAAUCAAGCAACUAAACUUCACUUAAUCCAAGGAAAAGAAGAAAAGCAAAAAGUAAAAGCCAAAAGAAAAAUUAUUCAAUUGAUUGGUCAAACACUAACGUUGACAAUAAAGCAUUUUUCUUUUAACUCUCUACCAUUGAUUUUUUAUUCCAACCCAUCCUUACAGCUUUUUGUUAUUGUUGUUUUCUAAAACAGAACCUCAUAAUAUCAGACAUAUUGGGACUCCGAAAGUUCAACCUUCAGCGCGAAAAAAUCCUUCUUGUUUCCAUUAUGUUCAUUUUGUUAUAGAUAGAGGCAUCGGUGCUUGAAUUUUGAAUGCAUAAGCACGAACCAUAAAGUUCAAUCAAGAUAUGAGGAGAAUUUUCUUUUUCUUUUUCUUUUAUCUUUGCUUUUCUGUUUUUCCUUUGUUGAUGGCGCCAAACGUAGUCUUAAAGUAUAUUAGAUACAUCUGGUGAUCAACAUUCAAUUACAAUAAAGAGUAUAGAUAGAUACAUCAAUACUAUCCAGCCCUCUUUCAUGAUGAUGUUGCAAGUUUUGCACUCCACCCCCAUAUUAUUAUGAAGAGGAGAAAUUCCUGUUACAACAUUAAUUGAGCUUUAUUUUCUAAGAAAUGACUUCUAACAUUAAUAAAUUUGAAUCAAUUUAUAGCUAUUUCUCGUACUCUUUCGUAGUAUAGCUUUCUUUUUAAGCUAAAACAGGAGAUGAUUAUAAGACGUGAAGUUGUCUUAAGAUUAACAAGGCAGUUAGAUGCAUUUAAAUUGGUAUUUAAGGAUAUGUCUGUAUAUAACUAGAACUAAUUAAGAUUACAAUACACUGCAAAAUGAUUCCACCUUUUUUUUUUUUUUUUGGUUCUCUCUUUUAUAUGAUCAAAUACAAUGUUGAUAUGAACAAGGUUUUGCAGUUGUAGAAAAUCGUGGAGGACUUUUUUUUAAAAAAAAGAAAGAUAAAAUUCAUAAAAAAAUGUGAAGUUAAGCAUAUUUAGUGAUGGGUGGGGUAUGGGGUGGUUUGCUAACAUGGAAUGCGCAUGGCAGAUUGGCACUUUAAAGAAGGGAUGGGGCCGAGGGGGCGGGAGUUGUUAAAUCCUCGGCGUAGAAAAAGGUCAGUAAGCGUGUCCCUGGCAUUAGACAAGGAGAGGGGGUAGCGCAUGCACAGCCCAACUAUAUCUCUUUAUUUUAUGUCCCACUCCACUCCCCCUCAUCUCUGCCGCAACAUUAAAUACCUUAUGCAUCCUUACUAUUCAUAAUGGUUUUUUGUUGGGUUGAUGUUACAAAAUUAAAUUUUUUAUUAUAGAUGUAUUAAUAUUUUUAAAAAUAUAUAAGAUUUUUUUUAAGUAGGAGUUUAAUCUUUGGUGGUGAUGUUGAUUUUAGAUAUAUUCCCCACCCGCAAGUAGAUAUCAUACAUUCUAAUAUAAUUAAAAAAAAAGUAUAACUAAAAUAUUUUUUAUAUAUUUUUUAUAUUUUUUGAAUUUUUAAAUUUUAAAAAAUUAAUUAAAUGUUCAUGUGUCAUCUACAUGUAUGCAACGUUAGCGAAGUUUAAAAUAUAUUAAUUUUUUCAUUCGUGAUUUGAAAAAAAAAGGUAAGUUUAAAGGUUAAAAAAGCAUAAAUUUAAAUAAAUAGUUAAAAUAAUUUUUUUUAUAAAGUUAGAGAAUUAAAUAAAUUAUUAUUUUAUUUAAAAAUAAUUUUCAAUAAAUUACUAAUUUAGUCACAUAAUCUAAUAUAAUUUAAAAAAUAAUUAUUAACAUUUUAAUUUGUAUGAAUUCUUGUUAUGUAUGGAUUCUUGUUAUGUAUGGAUUCAAACCCGUUCGUUCCAUCAACAAAUUGAUCUGCAUGAGACUUAAGGGUUAGAAUUUUGUGUAACCCUUUUUCCUCCUAAUUUUUACUUUUAAAAAGAAAUUGCAAUACAAUUUUUUUUUAUAGAAUUCUCCUAUUUUUAUUUAUUUAUUUGCUUAGGAAGUUUUACUGACACUGCUUUUAUUUUUCCAUUAAUCAAAUUUAAGAGACAAUUCACUUUUUAUAAUUAACAAAAAAAAAAAAAAGAAAAUAAAAGAAAUUACUUUUUUCUUUUUCGUGUUCGAUACAAGAUAGAUGAAAUAUGAAAAAUAAAAUGAAAUGAAAAUAUAUUACUAGUUAUAUAUCACCUCCAUUAUGUAGGGGAAAGAAAUAAAAAUAAUAUUAAUUUAUGAUACUUCCAUAAUGUGGUUAAAAAUAAUUAUCUAGUAUUUUUUUGUAAAAAAAAAAGUUGAUAUCUAUGCUACUAAUGAGGUUUCUUAGUGAGUUUGUUACUACUAAUAAAGUUUAUUUGCAUGGUUGAGACCUUAUGCUUUUCAAAUACCCAUAUUUGAAUUUUAAAAAUUGUUGAAUUUUUAUUAUAUUUAAAAAACAAGUUAUUUAUAUAACUAGUAAUGUAUUAUUUUGACUUUUUUUUUAAUCGAGUUAAUGUUGGUUAUUUCGUUAUACCAAUUCAAUAAAAUAUUUUAUUUAUAUUAAAUUAUAGCAUACUCACGAUGUGGGUGAAGUAAAAUUAUUUAACAAAUAUAUUUUGAAAAAUUGAUAAAAAUACUAAAUGAGGUUUUGGUUAAAUAGUAAGAUAUAAUUAUUACAAAUUAUAAAUAUGUAGGUUCAAAAUCUAUCAUGUGUAUAUUUGUACUAUUAUUCUAUAUAAAUUGAUAACCUUAUAAAAGUAUCUAAUUUAGUUUAUGGUUGAUUGAUCGAUAAUACCAAAUUUAUUAAAAAUUAAUAUUAGUAAAGAUAUAUAGUACAAAACUAAACAUAAAAUUUUAUAUGUUAAGGAAAUAGCGGAAAAAAUAUCAUAUUUGUAGAACUGUUUAGCAGUGUGGGAGAAUGUGAUCAUUACAAGGAAAAAUGAAAUAUAUAUCAUUAAUAACAAACAUAAAAGAAAGCGUCUUUUGAUAAAGUUGUUAUUGGUGUAAUGUGAAGGGACCACAAUCAUCACCAUUCACCACUUGCUCCUAAUUGAGUUGAAAUCUUUUUACAACAUAGAAAACUAGAAGAUCGCCCUUUCUUGCUUCCUAUAUAUAGAUUUUGUAUCAUCGCAAUUUCACAUCACACACACAAGUAAAGCAUUAGCAACCAUAGCCAUGGCUUCCUCACCAAAACUCUUCUCUAUGUCUAUCCUCUUCCUUUUUGCCCUCUUCUCCAUGCAAAUCCAUGCUAGAGAGUACUUCAGCAAAUUCCCAAGAGUUAACAUCAAUGAGAAAGAGACAACAACCAGAGAGCAAAAGCACGAGACCUUCGUUCCCCAGACCACCCAAAAGCCAGAAGAACAAGAGCCAAGGUUCAUCCCUGAAACCCAAAAUGGUUAUGGCCUUUACGGCCACGAGUCAGGCUCAGGCUCAAGCCGGCCCAGUUUCACCACCAAAGAAACCUAUGAACCCUAUGUCACCCCUGUUAGAUUCCACCCUGAUGAGCCCUAUAACAGCAUCCCCGAAUCCUCCAACAAUAAAGACACUUACUACUACAACAAGAAUGCCUACGAGUCCACUAAGCAGCAAAACUUGGGCGAGGCCAUUUUCACCGAGAAAGGAUGGAGCACCAAGGAAAACCAGAACAACAACUACUACAACGGCAACAAUGGUUACAACAAUGGCGAGAAGCAAGGCAUGAGCGAUACUAGGUACUUGGAGAAUGGAAAGUACUACUAUGACGUCAAGAGUGAGAACAACUAUUAUCCAAACCGGUUCGACAACUCAAGAGGAGUUGCUUCGAGGAACCAGUUCAAU